UUCCUCUUUAUUGGACGGAGAAACCCAACGGGAUCACCGAUCCCUCAGAGGAAUCCUUGUCCGCCAACGAUAAAGCCUUUCUUAAUCUCCUUGCCCCACUUCCCAUCCUUGACUGCACAACAGUCCUUGAGGGCGCUGACCUCUCAAGGACUCCCAAAUACUUAGGUUGCCCAUAGCUCACUUUUAUUAUUGACAUUUCCUUUCUCGACUCCUAUGUUGUCACUGAUCGUUUUUUUUAUUAUUACAGAAGAUAUGAAUUUCACGAACGCCGAGCUCCUGAAGGCCCGCGAGAGGAGAAUGGCUCGCUUUUCCCCAAAAUUCAACACUGAGGGCGACGCGAAAAAACGGGGCGGUGCUGAGAACCAAGCCGAGAGCACCAAAGCUCCCAAGAGGAGAAGAUUGGCCAAAACCUCCUCCGGCGCCGGCACAUCCAACCCCGGCGCUCAGCCCACCACUGCUGCUGCGCCUAAAGGCAAAAAUGUCGCUGAAGCCUCCGUCGCCGCAGCUACCGAGCCAACCGCCGUACCAGCUUCUAUUCCUGCCUCCGC
rnacentral:lncRNA from 1 species